rnacentral:tRNA from 1 species
GGAGAGGUGUCCGAGUGGCCGAAGGAGCACGCUUGGAAAGCGUGUGUACCGCAAGGUACCGUGGGUUCGAAUCCCACCCUCUCCGCCA